UACGGAGAGUGCAAACGUUGUUCGGAUUCACUGGGCGUAAGGGCACGUCGGCGGCUCGGCAAAUCGGUCGUGGAAUCCCGACGCUUACCGUCGGAACGGCGGCCGAAAAUACCGGGCUCGAGGGCGUGAGGGGUCACUGGAACUCCUGGUGAAGCGGUGAAAUGCGUAGAUAUCAGGAGGAACGCCGGAGGCGAAAGCGAGUGACUGGCGCGUUCCUGACGCUGAGGUGCGAAAGCUAGGGGAGCAAACAGG
rnacentral:rRNA from 1 species